rnacentral:pre_miRNA from 1 species
UGGAAGACUUGUGAUUUUGUUGUUUCCAAUGUCAACGGGAGCGAACAACAAAUCCCAGUCUCCUCC